rnacentral:miRNA from 1 species
UACUCCAGAGGGCGUCACUCAUG